rnacentral:rRNA from 1 species
UAUUGCACAAUGGGGGAAACCCUGAUGCAGCGACGCCGCGUGCGGGAUGACGGCCUUCGGGUUGUAAACCGCUUUCAGCAGGGACGAAUCAAGACGGUACCUGCAGAAGAAGCGCCGGCUACCUACGUGCCAGCAGCCGCGGGAAUACGUAGGGCGCAAGCGUUGUCCGGAAUUAUUGGGCGUAAAGAGCUCGUAGGCGGUUUGUCGCGUCGGGUGUGAAAGCUUGGGGCUUAACCCCAAGUCUGCAUCCGAUACGGGCAGACUAGAGGCAGGUAGGGGAGAACGGAAUUCCUGGUGUAGCGGUGAAAUGCGCAGAUAUCAGGAGGAACACCGGUGGCGAAGGCGGUUCUCUGGGCCUGUACUGACGCUGAGGAGCGAAAGCGUGGGGAGCGAAC